rnacentral:rRNA from 1 species
UUGCAAUACACGAAAGUGUGACAGGGUCAUCCCGAGUGCCGACCGCUGAGGUUGGCUUUUACCCAGUCUAGAAAGCUGGGGGAAUAAGGAGAGGGCAAGUCUGGUGUCAGCCGCCGCGGUAAUACCAGCUCUCCGAGUGGUGUGGACGUUUAUUGGGCCUAAAGCAUCCGUAGCUGGCUGAGCAAGUCCCUUGUUAAACCCACCGAUUUAAUCGUUGGCGUGCGGGGGAUACUGCUCGGCUAGGGGACGAGAGAGGCAGACGGUAUUCCCGGGGUAGGGGUGAAACCCUAUAAUCCCGAGAAGACCACCAGUGGCGAAGGCUGUCUGCUAGAACGCGCCCGACGGUGAGGGAUGAAAGCUGGGGGAGCGAACCGG